GCGCCCGUAGCUCAGCAGGAUAGAGCAUCGGUUUCCUAAACCGGGGGUCGGGGGUUCGAGACCCUCCGGGCGCACCA
rnacentral:tRNA from 2 species